UGAUCCUGCCGGAGGCUACCGCUAUUGGAGUUCGAUUAAGCCAUGCGAGUCGAGAGUCUUAGGGACUCGGCGUACCGCUCAGUAACACGUGGGUAACCUGCCCUAUGCUGGGUCUAGUAAGAAUAACCUCGGGAAACUGAGAAUAAUACCCCAUAGUUCACCACGCCUGGAACGGUGGGUGGAUGAAAGCUCCGGCGGCAUAGGAUGGGCCUGCGACGUAUCAGGUUGUAGGGGGUGUAACGUACCCUCUAGCCAUCAACGCGUACGGGUGUUGGGAGACAUAGCCCGGAGAUGGAUUCUGAGACACGAAUCCAGACCCUACGGGGUGCAGCAGGCGCGAAAACUUGGCAAUGCGAGCAAUCGUGACCAGGGAACUCCAAGUGGCUGGGGUAAUACCCAGUUUUUUCUUGACUCUUCAAAGGUCUUGGAAUAAGGGGUGGGUAAGGACGGUGCCAGCCGCCGCGGUAAUACCGGCGCCUCAAGUGGUAGUCGCUUUUAUUGGGCCUAAAACGUCCGUAGCCGGUCUGGUGCAUUCGUGGGUAAAUCAACCCGCUCAACGGGUUGAAUUCUGCGAGCACGGCCAGACUUGGGACCGGGAGAGGUGUGGGGUACUCUCAGGGUAGGGGUAAAAUCCUGUCAUCCUGAGAGGACCACCUGUUGCGAAGGCGCCACACUAGAACGGAUUCGACGGUCAGGGACGAAACCUAGGGGCACGAACCGGAUUAGAUACCCGGGUAGUCCUAGGUGUAAACGCUGUGGACUUG
rnacentral:rRNA from 1 species